AGGACGAACGCUGGCGGCGUGCCUAAUACAUGCAAGUCGAACGGUCUUUCUAUGGAAGCUUGCUUCCACUGAGAAGAUAGUGGCGAACGGGUGAGUAACACGUGGGGUAACCUGCCCAUAAGAGGGGGGAUAACAUCCGGAAACGGGUGCUAAUACCGCAUAGUUUUCUUGAUCGCAUGAUCGGGAAAGGAAAGACGGCCUUUGUGCUGUCGCUUAUGGAUGGACCCGCGGCGUAUUAGUUAGUUGGUGAGGUAAUGGCUCACCAAGACGAUGAUACGUAGCCGACCUGAGAGGGUGAUCGGCCACAUUGGGACUGAGACACGGCCCAAACUCCUACGGGAGGCAGCAGUAGGGAAUCUUCCGCAAUGGACGAAAGUCUGACGGAGCAACGCCGCGUGAGUGAAAGAAGGUUUUCGGAUCGUAAAACUCUGUUGUCAGAGAAGAACAAGUUGGAGAGUAACUGCUCCAGCCUUGACGGUAUCUGACCAGAAAGCCACGGCUAACUACGUGCCAGCCGCCGC
rnacentral:rRNA from 1 species